rnacentral:rRNA from 1 species
AUUGAACGCUGGCGGCAGGCCUAACACAUGCAAGUCGAGCGGAGCGGCGGACGGGUGAGUAAUGCCUAGGAAUCUGAAAGGUAGUGGGGGAUAAGGGCAGGAAACGGGAGCUAAUACCGCAUAGUAACAGAGGAGACUAGGUCGGAUUAGCUAGUUGGUGGGGUAAAGGCCUACCAAGGCGACGAUCCCUACCUGGUCUGAGAGGAUGAUCAGUCACACUGGAACUGAGACACGGUCCAGACUCCUACGGGAGGCAGCAGUGGGGAAUAUUGGACAAUGGGCGAAAGCCUGAUCCAGCCAUGCCGCGUGUGUGAAGAAGGUCUUCGGAUUGUAAAGCACUUUAAGUUGGGAGGCGUUACCAACAGAAUAAGCACCGGCUAACUUCGUGCCAGCAGCCGCGGUAAUUC